rnacentral:rRNA from 1 species
CCCUGCUUUUGUGGGGUGCUCGAGUGGCGAACGGGUGAGUAACACGUGAGUAACCUGCCCUUGACUUUGGGAUAACUUCAGGAAACUGGGGCUAAUACCGGAUAGGAGCUCCUGCUGCAUGGUGGGGGUUGGAAAGUUUCGGCGGUUGGGGAUGGACUCGCGGCUUAUCAGCUUGUUGGUGGGGUAGUGGCUUACCAAGGCUUUGACGGGUAGCCGGCCUGAGAGGGUGACCGGCCACAUUGGGACUGAGAUACGGCCCAGACUCCUACGGGAGGCAGCAGUGGGGAAUAUUGCACAAUGGGCGGAAGCCUGAUGCAGCAACGCCGCGUGCGGGAUGACGGCCUUCGGGUUGUAAACCGCUUUCGCCUGUGACGAAGCGUGAGUGACGGUAAUGGGUAAAGAAGCACCGGCUAACUACGUGCCAGCAGCCGCGGUGAUACGUAGGGUGCGAGCGUUGUCCGGAUUUAUUGGGCGUAAAGGGCUCGUAGGUGGUUGAUCGCGUCGGAAGUGUAAUCUUGGGGCUUAACCCUGAGCGUGCUUUCGAUACGGGUUGACUUGAGGAAGGUAGGGGAGAAUGGAAUUCCUGGUGGAGCGGUGGAAUGCGCAGAUAUCAGGAGGAACACCAGUGGCGAAGGCGGUUCUCUGGGCCUUUCCUGACGCUGAGGAGCGAAAGCGUGGGGAGCGAACAGGCUUAGAUACCCUGGUAGUCCACGCUGUAAACGGUGGGUACUAGGUGUGGGGUCCAUUCCACGGGUUCCGUGCCGUAGCUAACGCUUUAAGUACCCCGCCUGGGGAGUACGGCCGCAAGGCUAAGACUCAAAGGAAUUGACGGGGCCCCGCACAAGCGGCGGAGCAUGCGGAUUAAUUCGAUGCAACGCGUAGAACCUUACCUGGGUUUGACAUGGAUCGGGAGUGCUCAGAGAUGGGUGUGCCUCUUUUGGGGUCGGUUCACAGGUGGUGCAUGGCUGUCGUCAGCUCGUGUCGUGAGAUGUUGGGUUAAGUCCCGCAACGAGCGCAACCCUUGUUCACUGUUGCCAGCACGUUAUGGUGGGGACUCAGUGGAGACCGCCGGGGUCAAC